UACAGCGGGGGCAAGCGUUGUUCGGAAUUACUGGGCGUAAAGGGCGCGUAGGCGGCCUGCUAAGUCGAACGUGAAAUCCCCGGGCUCAACCCGGGAACUGCGUCCGAUACUGGUUGGCUUGAAUCCGGGAGAGGGAUGCGGAAUUCCAGGUGUAGCGGUGAAAUGCGUAGAUAUCUGGAGGAACACCGGUGGCGAAGGCGGCAUCCUGGACCGGUAUUGACGCUGAGGCGCGAAAGCCAGGGGAGCAAACGGG
rnacentral:rRNA from 1 species